rnacentral:rRNA from 1 species
UUUCCCUACGGGACGCAGCAGUGAGGAAUAUUGGUCAAUGGGCGGGAGCCUGAACCAGCCAAGUCGCGUGAGGGAAGACGGUCCUAUGGAUUGUAAACCUCUUUAGGCGGGGAGCAAUGCCGGGCACGCGUGCCCGGAGGGAGAGUACCCGCAGAAUAAGCAUCGGCUAACUCCGUGCCAGCAGCCGCGGUAAUACGUAGGGAGCAAGCGUUAUCCGGAUUUACUGGGUGUAAAGGGCGUGUAGGCGGGCAUGCAAGCCAGAAGUGAAAUCUGGGGGCUUAACCCCCAAACUGCUUUUGGAACUG